CCCAUUCACGGGUUGAUUCCAAAGUUUGUGUGGUUUUCCCGAUCACCUUCUUCUUUCUCUCUCUAUAUAACUGUAAAAGAGUUACUUAUUGCCAUGUACCUGUGAAGAGAAAGUGAACUGACUGAGCUUUCUAUUGUUGGAAAUGGAGAUGGUAAGGAAGCUGGCGUUGGUGUUUUUGAUGGUUGCAGUACUGCUUGAGGGGUCGAGGGCUGCUGUGAAAUUGUGUGACAUGGAUGAUGAUGGUCUUUCAGCGUGCAAGCCAUCGGUGACUCAGCCCGACCCUGUUGACCCAACGCCUGGCUGUUGUCAGGCUCUUUCUGGGGCUGACUUGAAGUGCCUUUGUUCCUAUAAGAACUCGAUGGUGCUGCCUGCUCUUGGCAUCGACCCUGAUCUUGCCAUGGCUCUGCCUGCCAAGUGCAGCCUCACCCCACCUGCCGACUGCUAAGGUUCUUGAAGGGUAUGUGGAUGCGCCACAUUCCGGCUGCUAUCAAUAAUUUGCAAGAAUUAAGAAUGUGGGUGUCAGAAUUGUAUGCAGUUCUGUUGUGUCUUCGCUAGUUUGUGUCUUUGAAUAGUGAUUUGUAUUUUGUAAUGUACUCUUUAAAUUGGGUUUGUAAUAUGAUCUUGAAAUGUUUGAUGUAUGACAUUUCAGUUAAAAGUGAAACCGUGUUUAUCAACAACUAGUUUUUGAGUAUUCA